GUUCUCCUAGAUCCAUGCUCGCACUGAGGUAAGAAAUGAGGAGCCAGGGCAGGGAGCCUCCUGGGGGUGGGCUGCCAACAUCAGGCAGAUGGGGAAUGAUUUUCACUUGUAUGGUGGAGGAUGCCACACACAGACAUGAAUAGAAAGAGCCUGGACCAUGUCCUGAGGUCAGCGACUGAGGUCCUGGGUGGGGCCAGCCAGGACCUGCCCGGGGGCUACUGCAUCUGAAUCAAUACCUCCAGGGACCCUACGUUGACACCCAUGGCCUCCCACUCUCCACCCCUCAGUCCUGCGUGCGGCACGUAGUGCUCACUGGGCGUCUCUGUAGGGGUUGAAGGCUGAGGCUGGAACAAGGGCGUGGCGGCCCCAGGCUCCAGGGCACGACGGUCCUUCCUCUUCCCCUUCUCAGCCACAUCUGGGGCUCCGUCCCUUCAGCCAAGGCUCCCUGGCGCUGUCCUUGGUGCUGACGCGGUUCUGGAAGUGCGGUUCCAGGGUGGCUGGUGCGGCUCCCGAUGGAAAAGCCCCACCAACCCCACAAAGCAGACUCGGGAGAGAACACGCCACACGUCUUUAGCGAAUCUUACCAACCCAGGGCCAAAGCGCCCUGCACCCCAGAGCAGCACUCGUGGUGGGAACACAGGCUGAUGUAAUCAACAGAAACGUGACUGCGGAGGAUGGGGAAGUCGGGAUGUCCUUAGCGUCCCAUGGAAAAAACAUAUUUCCUCCAGAUGGGAUCAUCGAUAA
rnacentral:lncRNA from 1 species